UACGUAGGGUGCAAGCGUUAAUCGGAAUUACUGGGCGUAAAGCGUGCGCAGGCGGCUUUGCAAGACAGAUGUGAAAUCCCCGGGCUCAACCUGGGAACUGCAUUUGUGACUGCAAGGCUAGAGUAUCGGAGAGGUUGGUGGAAUUCUCGGUGUAGAGGUGAAAUUCGUAGAUAUCGAGAGGAACACCGGUGGCGAAGGCGGCCAACUGGACGAAUACUGACGCUGAGACACGAAAGCGUGGGGAGCAAACAGG
rnacentral:rRNA from 1 species